AAUAAUCAUCAUUUUCUUGUAUUUCAGAUAAAUACAUAUAACCAUACAUAAGCAUGCAAAUCACUAUUUCUUCUUGUCAAUCACAAUUUCAAAUGACAGAUUCAUGUAAAUGAGCUCAAUAUCAUUAUCUGUUUAAUUUCCUUAAAUUCACAUACACAUAAUUUAUUAACAUAACCUGACAAACAUAAUCUCUGAAUGGUGAGAUCACAUAAUUGAGCUCAAUUUCACUGUUUAAUAUGUUUUAUCACAUAAAAUUUGCCUAAC
rnacentral:lncRNA from 1 species